rnacentral:rRNA from 1 species
AGCGAACGCGGGCGGCGUGCUUAACACAUGCAAGUCGAACGAGAACGGAUUAUAGCUUGCUAUAAUUGUCAGCUAAGUGGCGCACGGGUGAGUAAUGUAUAGGUAAUAUGCCUCUUACUAAGGGAUAACAAAUGGAAACGUUUGCUAAUACCUUAUACUCCUUAUUAACAGAAGUUAAUAAGGGAAAGAUUUAUUGGUAAGAGAUUAGCCUGUAUUGUAUCAGUUAGUUGGUGGGGUAAUGGCCUACCAAGACUAUGACACAUAACUGGUUUGAGAGGAUGAUCAGUCACACUGGAACUGAGACACGGUCCAGACUCCUACGGGAGGCAGCAGUGGGGAAUAUUGCACAAUGGACGAAAGUCUGAUGCAGCAACGCCGCGUGGAGGAUGACACAUUUCGGUGCGUAAACUCCUUUUAUAUGAGAAGAUAAUGACGGUAUUAUAUGAAUAAGCACCGGCUAACUCCGUGCCAGCCGCCGCAGUAA